rnacentral:rRNA from 1 species
AGUAGAACUAGCAUAAGAACAUAUCAUAAGCGGAGGAGCAUAUCAAUAAGCGGAGGAGCAUAUCAAUAAGCGGAGGAGCAUAUCAAUAAGCGGAGGAGCAUAUCAAUAAGCGGAGGAACAUAUCAAUAAGCGGAGGAACCUCUUGUUUUUACGAUGAAACUCUGAGAAUAAAACAUAAAUGAAUCAAAACUUUCAACAACGGAUCUCUUGGUUCUGGCAUCGAUGAAGAACGCAGCGAAAUGCGAUAAGUAAUGUGAAUUGCAGAAUUCAGUGAAUCAUCGAAUCUUUGAACGCACAUUGCGCCCUCUGGUAUUCCGGAGGGCAUGCCUGUUCGAGCGUCAUUUCAACCCUCAAGCCUGGCUUGGUGAUGGGGCACUGCCUUCUAACGAGGGCAGGCCCUGAAAUUCAGUGGCGAGCUCGCCAGGACCCCGAGCGCAGUAGUUAAACCCUCGCUCUGGAAGGCCCUGGCGGUGCCCUGCCGUUAAACCCCCAACUCUUGAAAAUUUGACCUCGGAUCAGGUAGGAAUACCCGCUGAACUUAAGCAUAUCAAUAAGCGGAGGAAA